rnacentral:rRNA from 1 species
CCUACGGGAGGCAGCAGUAAGGAAUAUUGGUCAAUGGAGGCAACUCUGAACCAGCCAUGCCGCGUGCAGGAAGAAGGCCCUAUGGGUCGUAAACUGCUUUUGUACCAGAGAAAACCCGAGUACGUGUACUCGGUUGAUAGUAUGGUAAGAAUAAGCAUCGGCUAACUUCGUGCCAGCAGCCGCGGUAAGACGAAGGAUGCAAGCGUUAUCCGGAUUCAUUGGGUUUAAAGGGUGCGUAGGCGGACUGAUAAGUCAGUGGUGAAAUCUCUCGGCUUAACCGAGAAACUGCCAUUGAUACUGUUAGUCUAGAGUAUAGAUGACGUUGGCGGAAUAUGACAUGUAGUGGUGAAAUACUUAGAUAUGUCAUAGAACACCGAUUGCGAAGGCAGCUAACGAAACUAUAACUGACGCUGAGGCACGAAAGUGCGGGGAUCAAACAGGAUUAGAUACCCUGGUAGUCCGCACCGUAAACGAUGAUUACUCGUUGUUGGCAAUAUGACCGUCAGCGACCAAGCGAAAGCGAUAAGAAUCCACCUGGGGAGUACGCCGGCAACGGUGAAACGUCAAAGGAAUUGACGGNGNGAGAGAGCGAGACGACGACGAGGGAGGAGG